rnacentral:rRNA from 1 species
CCUACGGGCGGCAGCAGUGAGGAAUAUUGGUCAAUGGGCGUAAGCCUGAACCAGCCAAGUCGCGUGAGGGAUGAAGGUUCUAUGGAUCGUAAACUUCUUUUAUAAAGGAAUAAAACGAGGCACGUGUGCCUUUUUGCAUGUACUUUAUGAAUAAGGAUCGGCUAACUCCGUGCCAGCAGCCGCGGUAAUACGGAGGAUCCGAUCGUUAUCCGGAUUUAUUGGGUUUAAAGGGAGCGUAGAUGGGUUGUUAAGUCAGUUGUGAAAGUUUGCGGCUCAACCGGAGAAUUGCAAUUGAUACUGGCAGUCUUGAGUACUGUUGAGGGAGGCAGAAUUCGUGGUGUAGCGGUGAAAUGCUUAGAUAUCACGAAGAACUCCGAUUGCGAAGGCAGCUUACUAAACUGCCACUGACAUUGAUGCUCGAAAGUGUGGGUAUCAAACAGGAUUAGAUACCCUAGUAGUC